rnacentral:rRNA from 1 species
UACGAAGGGGGCUAGCGUUGCUCGGAAUCACUGGGCGUAAAGCGCACGUAGGCGGAUUGUUAAGUCAGGGGUGAAAUCCUGGAGCUCAACUCCAGAACUGCCUUUGAUACUGGCGAUCUCGAGUCCGGGAGAGGUGAGUGGAAUUCCUAGUGUAGAGGUGAAAUUCGUAGAUAUUAGGAAGAACACCAGUGGCGAAGGCGGCUCACUGGCCCGGUACUGACGCUGAGGCGCGAAAGCGUGGGGAGCAACAGG